AUUGAACGCUAGCGGGAUGCUUUACACAUGCAAGUCGAACGGCAGCACGAGAGAGCUUGCUCUCUUGGUGGCGAGUGGCGGACGGGUGAGUAAUAUAUCGGAACGUGCCUAGUAGCGGGGGAUAACUACUCGAAAGAGUGGCUAAUACCGCAUACGCCCUACGGGGAAAAGGGGGGGAUCGCAAGACCUCUCACUAUUAGAGCGGCCGAUAUCGGAUUAGCUAGUUGGUGGGGUAAAGGCUCACCAAGGCAACGAUCCGUAGCUGGUUUGAGAGGACGACCAGCCACACUGGGACUGAGACACGGCCCAGACUCCUACGGGAGGCAGCAGUGGGGAAUUUUGGACAAUGGGGGAAACCCUGAUCCGGCCAUCCCGCGUGUAUGAUGAAGGCCUUCGGGUUGUAAAGUACUUUUGGCAGAGAAGAAAAGGUACCUCCUAAUACGAGGUACUGCUGACGGUAUCUGCAGAAUAAGCACCGGCUAACUACGUGCCAGCAGCCGCGGUAAUACGUAGGGUGCAAGCGUUAAUCGGAAUUACUGGGCGUAAAGCGUGUGUAGGCGGUUCGGAAAGAAAGAUGUGAAAUCCCAGGGCUCAACCUUGGAACUGCAUUUUUAACUGCCGAGCUAGAGUAUGUCAGAGGGGGGUAGAAUUCCACGUGUAGCAGUGAAAUGCGUAGAUAUGUGGAGGAAUACCGAUGGCGAAGGCAGCCCCCUGGGAUAAUACUGACGCUCAGACACGAAAGCGUGGGGAGCAAACAGGAUUGGAUACCCUGGUAGUCCACGCCCUAAACGAUGUCAACUAGCUGUUGGGGCCGUUAGGCCUUAGUAGCGCAGCUAACGCGUGAAGUUGACCGCCUGGGGAGUACGGUCGCAAGAUUAAAACUCAAAGGAAUUGACGGGGACCCGCACAAGCGGUGGAUGAUGUGGAUUAAUUCGAUGCAACGCGAAAAACCUUACCUACCCUUGACAUGUCUGGAAUCCCGAAGAGAUUUGGGAGUGCUCGCAAGAGAACCGGAACACAGGUGCUGCAUGGCUGUCGUCAGCUCGUGUCGUGAGAUGUUGGGUUAAGUCCCGCAACGAGCGCAACCCUUGUCAUUAGUUGCUACGCAAGAGCACUCUAAUGAGACUGCCGGUGACAAACCGGAGGAAGGUGGGGAUGACGUCAAGUCCUCAUGGCCCUUAUGGGUAGGGCUUCACACGUCAUACAAUGGUCGGGACAGAGGGUCGCCAACCCGCGAGGGGGAGCCAAUCUCAGAAACCCGAUCGUAGUCCGGAUCGCAGUCUGCAACUCGACUGCGUGAAGUCGGAAUCGCUAGUAAUCGCGGAUCAGAAUGUCGCGGUGAAUACGUUCCCGGGUCUUGUACACACCGCCCGUCACACCAUGGGAGUGGGUUUCACCAGAAGUAGGUAGCCUAACCGCAAGGAGGGCGCUUACCACGGUGGGAUUCAUGACUGGGGUGAAGUCGUA
rnacentral:rRNA from 1 species